rnacentral:rRNA from 1 species
GAUGAACGCUAGCUACAGGCUUAACACAUGCAAGUCGAGGGGAAACGACAUCGAAGGCUUGCUUUUGAUGGGCGUCGACCGGCGCACGGGUGAGUAACGCGUAUCCAACCUGCCCACCACUUGGGGAUAACCUUGCGAAAGUAAGACUAAUACCCAAUGAUAUCUCUAGAAGACAUCUGAAAGGGAUUAAAGAUUUAUCGGUGAUGGAUGGGGAUGCGUCUGAUUAGCUUGUUGGCGGGGUAACGGCCCACCAAGGCGACGAUCAGUAGGGGUUCUGAGAGGAAGGUCCCCCACAUUGGAACUGAGACACGGUCCAAACUCCUACGGGAGGCAGCAGUGAGGAAUAUUGGUCAAUGGGCGAGAGCCUGAACCAGCCAGGUAGCGUGCAGGAUGACGGCCCUAUGGGUUGUAAACUGCUUUUAUAAGGGAAUAAAGUGGGAGUCGUGACUCUUUUGCAUGUACCUUAUGAAUAAGGACCGGGUAAUUCCGUGCCAGCAGCCGCCGUAA